GGAGUGCUGUCAUAGUUAAUUUUAUGUGUCAGUUUGACUGGGCUAAGAGAUGCCCAGGGGGUUGGUAAAUCAUGAUUUCUGGGUGUGUCUGUGCUGGUGUUUCUGGACGAGAUUAGCGUUUGAAUCUGUAGACUGAGUAAGGUGGAUGUCCCCUCACCAAUAUGCGUGGGCAUCACCCAGUCUGUUGAAGGCUGAGAUGGAAUAAACAGAUGGGGGAAGGGUGAGCUUGCUCUCUUUGCUUGAGCUGCGACAUCUGUCUUCUGCUGCCCUUGGGCAUGAGAGCUUCUGGCUCUUGAGCCUUUUUACUCAGACUGGGACGUACACCCUUGGCUGUCCUGGUUCUCAGGCCUUUGAGCUUGGAUUGGAACUACACCACCUGAGUUUGUGGUCCUCGCCCUUGCAGAUGGAAGGCUGUGGGACUUCUCACCUUCCAUUAUCAUGAAUAUAAAUGGUUGGAGAAGACAGACAAAGAGAACCGCUCUUCUGUAACAACGGGAAGGUGAAACCCCUUUUUGGACUGGCAAUGGUGAAAUCUAAGCAUGGCUCCAAUUUGAGUAGGGGACACGGAUACUGUUGACCUCUUUGCUGAAGGGGAGAAUCUGGGAGAAAGUUUCUCUUAUCCGUAAUAUCUGCAUAUUGUGCUUUGGUAAGGUGAACUGUUAGGAAAGAAGUACUAAGAAAAUUGAAAAACUUUAAUGAUCAAUAUUGAGAAUAAAAAUGUUUAUGCUGGGAAGCGUAAUUUGAUCAUGACCUCGACCUGUGUAACUCUGAAGUGAUUUGCAUAUCGCCAGUGCAUGUGCUUCCCCCCAGCAUCUGCAUCUCCCCCAGGCUGGGCCAUCUCCUGUGGACGGGACGUCUCCAGCACCACAGGAGAAAGAACAAAGAGUGCAAGGCGUCACUUGCUCUGUGCCUCUCAGGGUGAUCCAAACACACAGCUGGCACUUAACAUCAAAGCGAACUUGGCUUACAGGGAUGUGGAGGAAGAUCAGACUCUGGCACUUAGCGUUUUCCUUUUAUUUUAGCAUGAUCACCAAUGCCACAGACCCCCUGGGGAUGGACUCAUUUCAACAGCGGCAGAAGCUCCCUUCUAGAAGCACUCCCAUUUGCACAG
rnacentral:lncRNA from 10 species